UAAGAGAUGGCGACCGGCGCACGGGUGAGUAACACGUAUCCAACCUGCCGAUAACUCGGGGAUAGCCUUUCGAAAGAAAGAUUAAUACCCGAUGGUAUAAUAAAGCCGCAUGGUUUAAUUAUUAAAGAAUUUCGGUUAUCGAUGGGGAUGCGUUCCAUUAGGCAGUUGGUGAGGUAACGGCUCACCAAACCUUCGAUGGAUAGGGGUUCUGAGAGGAAGGUCCCCCACAUUGGAACUGAGACACGGUCCAA
rnacentral:rRNA from 1 species